GAUGUGAGGGUGAUCUGGCUGCGACAUCUGCCACCCUAUUGAUUGCUAGAGUUGAUUCAACUGAUCCUGCUGGCUAGGUGGGUGUCUCCCCUUCUUCCCUCACCAUGUGCUUCCCUCCCUAAUCUGCGCGCUUAGUUGAAGAGGACAGCCUUACCAGAAUAGAGAUGACUGGUCUUUGGUAGAGGUUAUAGGAGUAGCUGCAUCCCCCUGCUAGAACCUCCAAAUAAGCUCUCAAGAAUCACUCUUUUGUUUGGCAAAUAUUCUGAGUAGUCUUGGGAAGAUGGGUGUCAGGACCUGGAAUAGUUGUCAAUUUAGUUCUCUGCACUGAAUU
ensembl:misc_RNA 7SK 7SK RNA